rnacentral:hammerhead_ribozyme from 1 species
GCACUGCUGAAGAGUCUCACAAUAGAACGAAACGGCUGUUCAGUGC